ACUACCGGUUCUAAAGAACUGGACAGAACCGGGAGCAUCCCACCAUUGGUGUGACCCCCUGGAGUCACAAGACAGGGGGUCAGCGGGCAUGAAUAAUGCCUUCCUGGUAGAUUUUUUCAAGUAGACUGACCAGCUUGAUGUAAAAUCAUUCUGAAUACAAGGCAAUUUGAUGAUUCUAGAACCUUGUAUGGGUGCUUGAGUAUUCUCUUCAUUCAGUUUCAUUAUUUGGACCUUGUGCAGAAUUCUGACCAGAUUUCAGAGCAUUGAGAACUGGAAGCAGCGCCCUCCACUUAUUAUGGAAGCAGGAAGUUAAAAAAUGAUACGAAGUAAGAAGUCUGCCUUUUGUCAACAAGGGGAUAGACUGAGUUUGAGAACACUUGUAAUGAUGUAUUGUUCUGAAUACAGAUAUUGAGAAAUGCAGCAAUUUAUCUGCUGAUCAUAAAGAUGCUUAAGUUGGACCAUUGUUGAAAAUAACUGAUCCCAAAAUGAGCCAAGUAAUGGAGUCCAGUCUGAAAUUUCAGCAUGAUGAAGUUAAGGGUGACUCAGACAAACCAAAAUUAAGAUGCUUUGAAAGCAACAAGAACUUACCAAGAUUGAAAAAAGUUGUGUUUCUUAUCUGCCUGGAAGAGGGACUUCACCAUCUAACCCACUGUACAUGCUUCUCAAAUUGAUGUUCAGGUCUUCUUUUCCUUCAACUUUCACCACACUGAUUUUGCACCCUGGAAUUGGAACACAAAAUUUAGUAUUAAUAGCCAGUGAAAGGAUUACAAAAGGCAUUGCCAGCUAGAUAGUGGAACACAAACUGCUCAAUAAUGGGCAUAAGACAUCCAAGUACUGACAAUUCUGUGAAGUGAUGUUGUUAUGAUUGUUGGUUCUUAACUGUGUCACUAAUUGACAAUAAAAUUAAAGGACUACCCAAAUUUUA